GAUGAACGCUGGCGGCGUGCCUAAUACAUGCAAGUCGAGCGAACGGACGAGAAGCUUGCUUCUCUGAUGUUAGCGGCGGACGGGUGAGUAACAUGUGGAUAACCUACCUAUAAGACUGGGAUAACUUCGGGAAACCGGAGCUAAUACCGGAUAAUAUUUUGAACCGCAUGGUUCAAAAGUGAAAGACGGUCUUGCUGUCACUUAUAGAUGGAUCCGCGCUGCAUUAGCUGGUUGGUAAGGUAACGGCUUACCAAGGCAACGAUGCGUAGCCGACCUGAGCGGGUGAUCGACCACACGGGAACGGAGACACGGUCCAGACUCCUGCGGGAGGCAGCAGUAGGGAAUCUUCCGCAAUGGGCGAAAGCCUGACGGAGCGACGCCGCGUGAGUGAUGAAGGUGUUCGGAUCGGAAAACUCUGUUAUUAGGGGAAAACAUAUUUGUAAGUAACUGUGCACAUCUUGACGGUACCUGAUCAGGAAGCCACGGCUAACUACGUG
rnacentral:rRNA from 1 species